UACGUAGGGUGCGAGCGUUGUCCGGAAUUAUUGGGCGUAAAGGGCUCGUAGGCGGUCUGUCGCGUCGGGAGUGAAAACUCAGGGCUUAACCCUGAGCCUGCUUCCGAUACGGGCAGACUAGAGGUAUGCAGGGGAGAACGGAAUUCCUGGUGUAGCGGUGAAAUGCGCAGAUAUCAGGAGGAACACCGGUGGCGAAGGCGGUUCUCUGGGCCUUACCUGACGCUCAGGUGCGAAAGCUAGGGGAGCGAACAGG
rnacentral:rRNA from 1 species